rnacentral:rRNA from 1 species
UACGUAGGGUGCAAGCGUUAAUCGGAAUUACUGGGCGUAAAGCGUGCGCAGGCGGUUUUGUAAGUCUGUCGUGAAAUCCCCGGGCUCAACCUGGGAAUUGCGAUGGAGACUGCAAGGCUAGAAUCUGGCAGAGGGGGGUAGAAUUCCACGUGUAGCAGUGAAAUGCGUAGAGAUGUGGAGGAACACCGAUGGCGAAGGCAGCCCCCUGGGUCAAG